GAUGAAGAACGUAGGGAAAUGCGAUACGUAAUGUGAAUUGCAGAAUUCAGUGAAUCAUCGAGUCUUUGAACGCACAUUGCGCCCCCUGGUAUUCCGGGGGGCAUGCCUGUCCGAGCGUCAUUGCUGCCCUCAAGCACGGCUUGUGUGUUGGGCCUCCGUCCUCCUCCCGGGGGACGGGCCCGAAAGGCAGCGGCGGCACCGCGUCCGGUCCUCGAGCGUAUGGGGCUUCGUCACCCGCUCUUGUAGGCCCGGCCGGCGCUUGCCGACACAUCAAUCUUUUUUCCAGGUUGACCUCGGAUCAGGUAGGGAUACCCGCUGAACUUAAGCAUAUCAAUAAGCGGAGGA
rnacentral:misc_RNA from 1 species